UGAACACAGGUGGCGAUGCGCCGCAAUU
rnacentral:sRNA from 1 species